rnacentral:rRNA from 1 species
UACAUGUGGGGCAAGCGUUGUUCGGAAUUACUGGGCAUAAAGGGUGCGUAGGCGGUUUGUUAAGUCAGGGGUGAAAGUUUUCGGCCCAACCGGAAAAUUGCCUUUGAUACUGGCGAACUUGAGUGCGUGAGGGGUAACCGGAACGAGUGGUGUAGCGGUGAAAUGCGUAGAUAUCACUCGGAAGGCCAACGGCGAAGGCAGGUUACUGGUACGCAACUGACGCUGAGGCACGAAAGCGUGGGGAGCAAACAGG